UAAUACGGAGGGGGCUAGCGUUGUCCGAAGUUACUGGGCGUAAAGCGCGCGUAGGCGGGUUGGUAAGUCCGCUGUGAAAGCCCGGAGCUUAACUCCGGAGGGUCGGUGGAUACUGCCAGUCUUGAAGGUGCUAGGGGGAGAUGGAAUUACCGGUGUAGCGGUGAAAUGCGUAGAUAUCGGUAGGAACACCAGUGGCGAAGGCGGUCUCCUGGGGCAUUCUUGACGCUGAGGCGCGAAAGCUGGGGGAGCAAACGGGAUUAGAUACCCCGGUAGUCCCAGCCCUAAACGAUGAAUACUAGGUGUCGGGGGUAUCGACCCCUCCGGUGCCGCCGCUAACGCAGUAAGUAUUCCGCCUGGGGAGUACGGCCGCAAGGUUG
rnacentral:rRNA from 1 species